rnacentral:SRP_RNA from 2 species
GGGUAAGUGCUGUACGGCCAGCUCCCUUUGAACUCCAUCAGGACCGGAAGGUAGCAGUGGUAGAAGGUUGUAGCGGUGCGAUGCAGUUAGCUUACCCCAU